rnacentral:misc_RNA from 1 species
GAGAAACCUUCUGCAAGUUCACAUUUAUGGCUUUGUAUAUACAAUAAUAGCAAGUUUCUUCUUUUUAACUAUUCACAUGAAUUGGAGCCAAACCAUGAGCUUCUUCUUUCUUCUCCAUUGCUAACUUUCAACUCCUCCAUGUGAAUCAUCUCAGAAUCACUUAAAUACUAAAACACUACUGCCUAAAGAACUAGUAGAGAACAGUAUAUUAC